rnacentral:antisense_RNA from 1 species
CACGGCCGGGAGCCCAGGAGUAUCCCGAGGCUGCACGGGGUAGGGGUGGGGGGCGGAGGGCGAGUCUUGGUCUUGAGCUGCUGGGGCGCGGACUUGCUUUCAAAGCCAGAACCAGGCCUGUCCGGGACCCGCGUGCCGGGGAGGCUGCGGCGCAGAGCAGCGGGGCUGGGGCCGGUGGGGGGCCGUUUGGGACGCGCGGAGAGGCCCUGAGCGCGGUGGCUCUGCGUCUCCUAGCUCUGAUCUCCAGGCUACUCCUGUGAUUCCGCGCAGAGGCACCUCUCGGAGGACGCCGGGGUCCCAUGGGCGGCGUCGCGCAGGGCACUAGGACCCCGCGGGGAGCGGAGGCGGCCUCGGCCCGGGAGCCUGGAGGACCGGGCCGGUCGAUCCGCCCGGGCUGGAAAACUUUCUUUCUAAUUACUUCUCCAGGUCGGAGCGCGCGGCUUGCUAGGCGCGCGGGGCCGGCUCUGUUACCCGGCGUGGAGUUGCCGAUUUUUUUUUUCCUGCGGGACGGGCGGGCCCCCCAGCCUAGCCGAGCUGGACGCCGGGGCGAGCACGGGGAGGGGCGCACCGAGGGAGGAGACAAACUUGACUCUGGGGCCGGGAUUCCGAGGCGGGGGCCGCAGCCUUCGAGGCCCGAAGCCACCGCUUCCUCCCCCGCCUCCCCAUUCAGGUGGGCGCCAACGGCGGGAGCGAGGGUGUCCAGGUCGCCGGGCUGCCAGGUCCGAGCACCUACAGGGAGAGAACUCUGCCCAGUGGUUCGCCGGGCGCUGUAGUCCCCGGGAUCCUAGGGACCGAGGCGGCCAGGCCCUGGGGCCCCUUGAGUGCGGCAGCUAAUGCUCUCACCGCGGCGGGGGAAGGAGCUUGCCACCGAGACCCCCAGCCACGUGCGUCCCUCGCAUUCUUUACUGGGGUCGGGGUGGCGGCUACGGACCGUCAGCUGGGCCCAGAUGGGGUCUUGGGAGCCCUCAAGUGUCUCCUGUCCUUGCCCGCGCCGCCCCUCGCCACUGGCGCUGAGGCCUGACGCCGCCUGGGUCCCGGCUAGAGGCGCGCUUGCCUACAGGUGAGGGAAGACCCCCUUCACCGACAGUGGCCUUCUUAGGCCUGGCAAGGCGCCACGACCCGCCCAGGAGCCUCGGAGGGGGCGCAGCCCGCUGGAGAGCCCCGAGCUUCCACGACGAUCGCAGUAAAGAAGCAAUUUCAUCUGGGCAACGCACACUGCGCUUUAAUCAAGUUCCUAUUCAACAUAGUCCCAGUGAUUAAUAGCCCAACUGCUUCGUUUUCGGUCCAGAGCUCAUAAACAAGAUAUUUUUAGCUUGACGCUUUUGGACGGGAGGGAGUAAAAACCAGAUACAUUAAAUAAAUAACCCGAUGUGAGCCGAAGAGCUGCUUGCUGAGCCAAAUGCAGGACCCAUUCAUAUACCAUUCACCUGUGGAGGGAGACCUGGACGGAAAUCAAAAAACACCCAGAGCGAUUUGUAUUUUUUUCUGCGGUGCUAAAACUAAUGGCUUUUCCUGCCUAGGAACAAAGAAACGCCACUGUACAUGCACAGUUCCCGGCCUGUGGAGUUGUGGGAGGAAGGCGAUGUCUGACUUUUUUUGCACAGCUGCUGUUGCCUGCCCAGAGAUCGGGAACUCUGCCCCGUAGGACGGGAAGAAACCUCAGUAAUGGGAAUAAGACUUUGUCCAAUAGGGGGCUGAUGAAUGUGUGGGGGCGACAAUGGCAAGGAGUGGGACUCCCGGCCUGGGGUUCUCCAACCCCAGGGGCCACAGGUCCUCCUACAAUUGAACCAGAAUUCACCCACCCGGGCCUGCCCUGUACAGGGUGCGAGAGCCUAGGGAAGCAUGAGAGGGUGGCUCCUGCCUCUGGGAACUGGGACAGUGGGAGAGACGGAUAAGUUGUCACACAGAGGCUGCUGGGAGGAAGGAGGAGACAGAAGGAGUAGGGGAUGGGACUUCAUUCAUUCAUCAAAUGCACAGGGGGCACAAAUGGGAAUCAAGGGUGGAUGUGCUGUGAUGAAGGGAAGUCCUGCCCUGAACAAGGUAGCGCUGUGGAGGAGGCAGAGAUCAGAUUUGUCUGGGGAGGUGUUAUGGACUGAAAUGUGUCCCUGUCCCAAAUUCCUAUGUUGAAGGCCUAACCCCCAUGUGACUGUAUUUGGAGAUAAGGCUUUUAGGAAGUCAUUAAAGUAAGAUGAUGUC